AUUGCAGCACAGCAGUGAGUGAACCCACCGUUACCACACCACACCAACAACGUAGACAGUAAUGAAGCAAUAACAUUUGCUGCAAUCACAACUCCAUUUGGGGACAAUUUGAUUUGGCUGGUGUUGUGAAUCAUUGGUUGAACGAGCUCCUUUGCAACCAUGAGUUUUGUCUUCCGAGGGAGUAGGGGAGAUAUUGAAAGUGGCUUUUCAGAAUAUAUUCCUGAAAGAACCUUGAUGAGGGUUCAUCCAGCUCGGCUAGUUAAUGGCAAUUCUCUAGCUUUUCUUAUCACAGCUCUGGGUUGUACUGGCUAUCUUUGUGAUGGCUACAAGUCUGAGGAUGUAUGCAACUUGUCAACAGCUUCAAGCACAGGCCAGGGCUCAUGCUGCAGCAGCCUCUGGGUUGCUUGGCCAUGAUGAACUUCGUCGUCACAUGCCACCAUCUAUUGCAAUUGCAACCAGAGGAAGAUUGCAGGGACUUAGACUUCAGCUUGCACUUCUUGACCGUGAAUUUGAUGAGCUAGAUUAUGACACUUUGAGAGCUCUGGAUUCUGAUACUGCUUCUAGUACUCGUUCAAUGACCGAGGAAGAGAUAAAUGCCUUGCCUAUUCACACUUACAAAGUUCCAGUCCCACCAAAGUGAGUUGAUAUUGGAUGGGGCAAUUUCAAGGUUGCCAUUCUUGAAAGAUUCCAAACUUCAGCCACUCUCAACCCUUUUGCCGCAAUUCGAAAGGUUUGAAGGAAGACAUUGGGGCAGAAAUCAAACUCUACGAACCCCCCACUUUAUCAAUCAUGGUCAAGAAGGCAUUAAUGAUCGAGCAAAUAAACAGAGCAAUUUGGAAGGUGGGACCUGAUGUUGCUUCAAACUCAAUUUCAAAAGUCAAUACCUCUUACCGAAAUCCAUCCCAUACGAAGACUAUUACUUAUGGUAUGAGUCAGAAAGGUGGAGGAAAAAGUAAUGGCCCUUUUAAUUCUUUCACUAGCAGUACAUCUGUGAACACACCAGAAAACAACAACCGACCCAAAGGAUUUCAACGAUUAACCGAAGCAGAGCUUCAAGAGAAGAGGAAGAAAGGGGAAUGUUUUCGCUGUGACGAAAAAUGGAGCACCUCUCAUGUAUGUAGAAAUAAACAACUUCGGAUAAUGUUAGUAACAGAUGAAGAUGAUGUUACAGACUCCGAAAAGGAACCCGAACCAGAAAUUGGAGAAACACCCCAAUUAUCCAUGAAUAUUAUUGUGGGAUUUACUUCUCGACGAUCGGUAAAGGUUUGGGGAAAUAUUGAUGAUCACAAAGUCAAAGUAUUGAUAGAUUGUGGUGCCACCCAUAACUUCAUUUCCAAGGAAUUGGUGAAAAAAUUACAAUUAAAGGUGGAUGGAUGACACUCCGGCAUACGUGGUAGAAGUUGGAGAUGGACACAAAAUUAAAUGCAAGGGAGUAUGUAGAGAAGUUCCCCUGAAAGUGCAAGAAGUACCAGUACAGCAGCAGUUCUUCUUGAUUGGCCUCGGAGGCGUAGAUAUGGUUUAAGGUAUGGAAUGGUUAGCAAGCUUAGGAGAGAUUAGAGCCAACUUUGAACAACUAACGCUGGUCCUCAAGAUUGAUGGCAGAAAGGUGAUUAUAAAGGGAGAACCCGAACUAUUAAAGAAAGACGCCUCACUUAAAUCUAUGUUGAAAGCUUUGCAUCAGGGAGAAGGGUUCCUUAUCGACUAUCACCACAUUCAAACAAAGAUAGAUUGGAAGGAUACAAUUCUGCCAGAAUUAAAACAUGUGCUACAUGAUUUCCCCUCCAUCUUUGAACCUCCAAAAGGACUUCCUCCGCAACGGCGUCAAGACCAUGCCAUACACCUCAAAGAAGGAGCCCAAAUACCAAAUAUCAGACCAUACAGGUAUCCUCACUAUCAGAAAACAGAAAUUGAAAAAUUGGUUGCUGAAAUGUUAGAAGCAGGAAUCAUUCGACCGUCCACAAGUCCUUAUUCCAGUCCUGUCAUACCAUUCAAAAAGAAAGACGGACAGACAAAAGUUGUCAACCGAUGCUUGGAAGUUUAAACAAGUUUAUUUACGGUGCUUAACUGGAAUAAAGCCUAAGAAAUGGGCCUCUUGUCUUCCAUGGGCAGAAUUCUGGUUUAACACCAAUUAUAAUGCUUCAAGCAAAUGUCUCCUUUCAAAGCUUUGUAUGGACAUGAUCCCCUUCACAUUCUCAAGGGAUCCACCAUUCCUUCCUGCCUUGAAGAAGUCAAUAAACUAACAAUUGUUCGGAAUGAAUUAUUGGCUACUCUUAAGAGAAAAUUUGUUGAAGUCUCAAGAUAUCAUGCAAGCAAAUGCCAACAAAUGCCACCAGGACAUAGAAUAUGCAGUCAGUGAUUGGGUGUUCUUGAAGAUGCAACCUUAUAGGAGAAGAUCCUUGGCUAAAAGGAUUAAUCAAAAACUCUCCCCUCAGUUUUAUGGUCCUUUCCAGGUGUUAAACAAGGUGGGUGUUGUUGCUUACAAGUUGGAUCUUCCAUCUCACAGUAAAAUUCAUCUGGUCUUUCAUGUCUCUCUCCUCAAGAAAGCCAUUGGUGACUCAUUCCAGUCCUAACCUUUACCACAUAUGUUAUCUGAGGAUCAGGAAUUACAAGUUUAUCCAAAUUCUGUUUUAGAUAUUUGUGAAUUACAACCUGGCAACGUGAAAGUUUUAAUUCAGUGACAAAAUCUCCCUCCCAAUGAAAAUAGUUGGGAAUCUGUGGCUAAAUUACAAGAGGUUUUUCUGACUUAUCACCUUGAGGACAAGGUGAGUCUUUUAGGCAGGGGUAUUGAUAAGCAUAAGCAUAAGCCACACAUCAUCAAGGUGUACACCUGCAAACAGCGAGCAAGAGAAGUAAUAACUAUGGACUACCAGCAGCAGGGCGGACAACAUCCAAGGGUUGCAAACCACCCAACAGUUACAACUCACCCAAAUGGUGUAAACCACCCAAUAGUUACGAUUCACCUGAAGGGUGCAAGGUCAGAAGAUGUGAAUCAAGGAAACAUGAUCCUUGGGAACAGUCACAACCAACUGAUAUUAUCCGCCUAAGGGGUGCAAGGUUAGGAGAUGCGAAUCAAGGGGGCAUAACCCUUGGGAACAAUUACAAUCAUUCAGAAUAAUUGUGUCCAUUAGAUGUAGUAUAAAUAGAAGUAAACCAAAAUGGGAAAGACACUCUGGAAUUAGGAAGAAUUUGAAUUGUGGAGAGACAGGCUCUCAAAAACCUGUGUAAUAAAAUAUCUCAAAUUAUCUAUAAAAAUUUCUAUUUCAUCUUUUCAAAUCUGUUCUAUUUUUAUCUGUUCUUAUCAAAACAUAAUCACUGGGUAAUACAACGAUGAUUUUGAAGGGCUGAUUGGCACUCAUUGCAUACUAGUUGACUGUUUGUGAGAAAGAGGCUUUGUUGUUAUGGCGUUGCUCAGGAAGCACUAUUUAAUAAAAGCUUAUUGAGAAAAAAUGCAACCAUAGUCUGUUUCUUUUUUUAUUUUAUUUUUAGGGUUCUCAAGCCUCAUUAAGUGGUUAAAAGGGUUAAUUUUCUCCUUUGUGUGCAUCUACAUUUAUGUUAAGAAGUGGUAAACCAUAAUAAAUAAGUUGAUACAAUUUGUUAUGUUAACAGAGAUGGUUCAGCUGGUUUGGCAUCCUCUUCAGAUGCAGCUGAGGUUAAACAAGAAUCUGGAGGAACAGAGGCAGGUACCGGAGGUCCAGAAGAUGAGCUGACAUGUACUAUAUGCUUGGACCAAGUUAAGAGGGGGGAGCUUGUUCGAAGCUUACCAUGCUUGCAUCAGUUUCAUGCAAACUGCAUUGAUCCAUGGCUCCGACAACAAGGAACAUGUCCUGUGUGCAAAUUAAGGAUAGGGUCGGUAAGUGGAGGAAACAGGGAGAGCGAGUCCGAUGGUUCAGAUAUUGCAUAAUCUUAUGGUUCAGAUAUUGCUUUAAAAUGCAUGAUGUGAUGCCUUGGGUUAUGUACAAGUAUAUAUGUAUAUAUUAUUCGGUAUUGGCGAAUAUAAUGAGAUUGGCAUAAGCAUAAGAUUGUAGUCUAUGUUUAGUCCCGAGAAUUCUUAGAUGUUCCGAGACAUGUGUACCGCUUGAUAUAUGAAUAGCAUUAAAAAUGUUAUUAAGUGGGAGGUGAUGAUAGUGCAUGUUAUACACCUUAUCUUAAAGAGAAACAUUUUUCUUUUUGAGGAGCACUUAAGUUACUUAAGGCCAUCUCCAUCCU